rnacentral:snoRNA from 1 species
AUCCCGUGGUGAGGACAAGCUAGGAUGUACUCCUAAAGCCUUUCCCAUUCCUCAGGAAUUGAUUCAGUAGCUACUUGCUGGAAACUCGAAAUCCUUCCACGAAGGGC